rnacentral:sRNA from 1 species
ACGCUCAUCAAGCCCCGACAAUCAGAUCCGUCUACUUGUGGGGAGGCCACCUGUCAAGGUUCAAUGAACCAGGUGACGUAUAACCUGUCCACGGAUUGCCCCGGAGAUCAGAGUUCCAGGGAAUCUAACUGUAGCUCGAUCGGAUAUCUCUGCUCAGAGUUAUCGCCGUUUUUCUGAAGUCGAUGCUGUCUGUUUCUUCACAGAUCUGUAUGAAUAGACCAGUCUGCCUCGGGACCGAUUUCCCGUCAAACGUACUAUGAACCAGAUCCGUCGGAAUAGACCAGUCUGCCUCGGGACCGAUUUCCCAACCAGUCACAAUGAAUCUCGCAACUAGUAAUAUGUUCACGGAUUGCCCCAGAUAUUAGCUUUCCAUAGAAUCGAACCACGUCUCAAUCAGAGACCUCUUAUGAGAGUUAUCUCCGGUUUCUGUGUCAGAUGUAGUCUGUUAAACUACAAUCCGUCUGUAUAGUCCAGCUCGCCUCGGGGCCGAUUUCCCGACAUAUCACAGAAAAUCUCAUGAGGCGUAAUAUAUCAACGGAUCGCCCACAGAGUCAUAUUUUUGGAAAAGUCGACCUUGCCUUAAUCUAAGAUAUAGGCUGAGAGAUAUAAACGUUUAUCUCAAGCAAGUGCAGUCUGUCACAAGACCCAACUCUAUAAAACCAGUCAGCUUCAGGAUCGUUUUCCUGGAAACUCCUGAUGAAAUAAGCUACGAUAUACUUAUCUACAGAUUUCUCCAAGAUUCAGAUUUCCAAAGAAGCCUACCUCGUCUCGAUCCGACCUGUCUACUAGGAGUUAUCAUCGCUUCUCUUCCUCGGAUGCAAUCUUUUUGUCAAAAUCGCCGCUGUCAGAACAACCAACUUUAAAACGAAAUUCCUGGUGAUCUAGAAAGCAUAACGAGGUGUUUUACCUAUCAAUCUGAAGAUAAGAGGCUUGUCCUUCCAACACAAUCAACCUCACCAAUAUCGGAGCUGUGUACUAAGCGUUAGCACUGUUUCCACGCAACAUAUGACAUCUCUAAAAAUCGCAGACUCGAACUGCGAGAACAAUUGGGGUAGAAGAUAGAUUCCCAGCGAUUAAAAACACAUCAAGAGCCCAUCUACAUAUCGUUCUGAAGCUAAGAGACUUAUCUUGCCAUAAAGAUGUACUUUGCCUAAUUCUAUGCUGUUUUCCGGGAGUUAUAGGCGUUUCUCUCAAGCAUGUGUAUUUAUCAGACCACAUAUCCGCCAGCUUUCAGAUCGAUUUCCCGGCUUAUCAUUAUGAAGCUACAAGGCUUAUCUUUCUAAAGAACCCGACUUUGCCUCUUUUGUUGCAGUCUAGUAAGAAUUCUCACUGUUUUUCCGCGACGAGCGCAUCCUGGCCGAAACCAUAGAGCGGAGUUCCACUGUUAUCAGAUCAGCCGCUUUUGAGAUGGAUUUCUUGUCGAUCUGGAAAGAUAUGAGAAUCAACCUUCACAUCAUCCUGAAACCCCAAGGCUUAUAUUUCUAUAGAGACCAAUCUCGUCUCUAUUGUUGAACUCCUUUUAGGUUGGGAAACCUAUUACAUCAUCAUUGCUACCAUGCUUCGAUCGCGUCAUUGUUAUUCUCACUUUAGAUCACCAGCUCAGAGUUCAACACUAUCAACUCAAGAGUUCACCACACUAGACGGGUCGUCAAAUGCACUUAAGAUCAAGAAGUUAUUCAUCUUGCUUCCUGUCCAAGAACCAACUGAAACAGUCUUUAAUCCAUGCAAAGUCUGAAACAGGAUUCGGUGUGCAGCUACAGCUUUUGCGAGACAUUUUCCCGACGCAUCAGAAAGAGUUAAGAAAUCAGGAAACAAUGACUCUGUCGGAGCAACUUCAGAGGAUAAUGGAAGAUACAUACGACGUCCGAUCUAGCUAGAACUUUAUAGAGUGAUUGUUGACGCUUCUAGAUAAUGAUUUACCGGUGGGAUCAAGAAAUCAAGGAUGCAUAAUAAAGUUAUCAAUGCAUCUCCGAAUCAGCCAAAAGAAGAAAAAAUCACCUUGUCACAACAACUUCAUGAAAACGUGGAAGCUUUAUACAAUAUCCGAUCUGACUAAAAUUUGGAGAAAACCUUCACGGAAUUAGCAGCUAGAUACUCAAUGGUGGGAUCGAAAACUUAACGGUUGAAACGAUAGUUAUCAGUUCUUAUACGAAUCAUCAAAAGAGGUACAUUACACCAAUAAGUGGCAAUGGAACAUCACUACCAAUCGCUCAA